AUUUUAGCAGUGAUGAGAAAUGGUCUGCCCAACAAUAGAUUAGAGGAGUUUGGAGAUUUAAGAUCAUCCAUAUACAACACUUAGAAGUCAGCUGGAAAAAUGAGGUUAUCCAAUUGAAUGAUGAUUCGAGUUUCUUUUAGCUAUCCGACAUUGAAUUUUGAAUACAUAGACGUAGGCAUCACGUUUAUGGAAGCUCCUAGAUCGCACAUAGAUUUUCUUAUGCCUACAGUACCUAUUUUACGUGAAAUGGCGAACAUACGCUUAUUUUUAUAUUUGGGAGGUAAUUUUCUUUAUAUGAUGGCUAAAACUUUCUCCAUCACAUCACUCUUUUGU
rnacentral:lncRNA from 1 species